AUGGAGAUGGACCCACCACCCAAAAUGCUUGCCUCUCUCACCAUGACCAUACUGAUGAUGAUGAUGGCCACCUCCACCGCACUUGCGUCGGAUGCAGCGGUGCUCGAAGGACAAGCAAGAGCACUUCUCGUCUGGAAAGACGGCCUCGACAACCAAAGCCAGCAAGCCCUGCACUCCUGGGGAAACACGUCGACGCCUUGCAACUGGCGCGGCAUCAAUUGCGAUAUCGGUGUGCAGCGACACCAACAUUGGCCGGUGAUCAGCGGCAUCUCUCUACGGGGUAUGCGGCUGAGCGGAGCUCUGGAGUCCCUCAACUUCUCAGCCUUGAGGACCUUGGCAUGCCUCGACCUCUCAAACAACCUCCUCACUGGGAGCAUUCCUCCUAGUAUCGAGGUCCUUGGCGAGCUCCAUGCUCUCCUUCUGCAAGGCAACCAGAUAAGAGGCUCAAUCCCACUAGGUCUAGGAAAUCUCACAAAAUUGCAUUCCUUAAUACUUCACGAAAAUGAACUCUACGGUGAAAUACCAAGCCAGAUAGGCAACAUGAGUAGUCUUGUCACCCUCAACUUAAGUAGAAGGUGCACCAUCCUCAUCGACCCCUGCUGCUGCUCCUCUCCCGCACGGGGCCAAACCCCUGCGCCAGCUCCGCUGCCGUGGCACAAGCACCUCCUCACGGCCACCGUCGCUGCAGCGUCCGCGCUGGUGGCCCUCGCCCUCGCCGCCUUCUUCGACUGCUGCACGACCCAUCUCGCCUGUGCCACCGAUGUCGUUGACCUGCUCUCAUGCGAGGACGCGCGCCUGGGCUCCCCGCAGCGCCCGUCGCGUCCAAGGACAGGGCCGACGUCGCCACCAACCUCAGGAGUGAGGAGGCUCCUACUAGGGUCCUCCAACUGCGCGGCCACCGGCGUCCCUACAGCGGUCUUGUUCUCCAAGGUGCCCGCCGUGCACGGGGCCUUCCGGGAUUCGGCGUGGGCCCUCCACGCCUGGGUGCGCGGCGAGCUCAAUGGUCCGGUAGACCGGUACUGA
rnacentral:rRNA from 1 species